AUUGAACGCUGGCGGCAUGCUUUACACAUGCAAGUCGAACGGUAACAGGCCUUCGGGUGCUGACGAGUGGCGAACGGGUGAGUAAUGCAUCGGAACGUACCCAGAGGUGGGGGAUAACGCAGCGGAAGCUGUGCUAAUACCGCAUGUGAUCUGAGGAUGAAAGCGGGGGACCGAGCAGCAAUGUUUGGCCUCGCGCCUUUGGAGCGGCCGAUGUCGGAUUAGCUAGUUGGUGGGGUAAAGGCCUACCAAGGCGACGAUCCGCAGCUGGUCUGAGAGGACGACCAGCCACACUGGGACUGAGACACGGCCCAGACUCCUACGGGGGGCAGCAGUGGGGAAUUUUGGACAAUGGGCGCAAGCCUGAUCCAGCAAUGCCGCGUGCGGGAAGAAGGCCUUCGGGUUGUAAACCGCUUUUGGCAGGAACGAAACGGUGUCCGCUAAUACCGGGCGCUAAUGACGGUACCUGCAGAAUAAGCACCGGCUAACUACGUG
rnacentral:rRNA from 1 species